rnacentral:tRNA from 1 species
CAGAGGGUAGUUUAAUUUA